CAGUCGAGAAUUUUUCUCAAUGGGGGAAACCCUGAAGGAGCGACGCCGCGUGGAGGAUGAAGGUCUUCGGAUUGUAAACUCCUGUCAUUUGGGAACAAAACUUCAGCUUAACUGGCUGGAGCUUGAUAGUACUAGAAGAGGAAGAGACGGCUAACUCUGUGCCAGCAGCCGCGGUAAUACAGAGGUCUCAACCGUUGUUCGGAUUCAUUGGGCGUAAAGGGUGCGUAGGCGGUCGUGUAAGUCGGAUGUGAAAUCCCGGGGCUCAACCCCGGAACUGCAUUCGAUACUGCAUGGCUAGGGUACUGGAGAGGAGACUGGAAUUUACGGUGUAGCAGUGAAAUGCGUAGAUAUCGUAAGGAAGACCAGUGGCGAAGGCGAGUCUCUGGACAGUUACCGACGCUGAGGCACGAAGGUCAGGGGAGCAAACGGGAUUAGA
rnacentral:rRNA from 1 species